UCCUUGUUAGUACAGUGGUGACUAUCCCUGCCUGUCACGCAGGAGUCAGGGGUUUGAUUCCCCAAUGAGGAG
rnacentral:tRNA from 1 species